UCGAAUAUCUUCGCGUCGCCCGUGGUCAUUUGUAAAGCGACACGAGCUGACGCAGAAUCUGUGAACUCUACCAUUGCGCAUUCGUCGCUGGCAGCCAGCUCUGGUCUUUUAGCAAUUGCUUGUCGCACCUGGUGAUCAAAAGGUUACACAAUUUGUGUGAUUGCAACUAUUAAAGCUCUUCGUGCCUCGUUCCUGUCCUUCGAGUUCAAACAUGGAAAUAUUCAACAUUUUAUGGCUCCGGUGGCUCCAUUCGUAAUGGUAAUUUGAGGGCUUCGAUUCUCCUAUUUUCAACUCGGACUACUAUACUCUUGCGAAACGAUAAUAAUUACCUCAGCUGGUGCGGGAUGGCCAGGUCGAAGAACUCUGAUAAGAGCGAUAUCCCCGCAUGGUCGAA